CGGCGGAUAUGUAAAGCUAGCUCAUAUACACGUAAUAUAACGUUUGUGCUUUUAUUGUGGUAACUUCCUGUGUAACCGGAAGUGAAUGAUGUAACGGUAACUAGCUUGAUGUACAAAAAAGACGGAAGAAAACGGUAAACUAAUGCUAACGGAGAAAAGGGAGAGAAAGACACGGUUAAAUUGUAUAAAAAUGAAUGGUUCUAGCUACAGUCGACAGGGCAACAAGCUCUUACGUUGGUUCGUUGUCUGAUACACGGCAAGGAAUAAUAAAGGUCAUUCAACAACCAUCAGUUCUGGCCUUCUCAGUUCGACUGGAUGCUACAGUAAGAGCUUGACCGCCGCCAUUUUGCUACACCAGGAGGGCUCAAGGUUUAACGGCAAUUCCCACAACGUCCAGCAGAUGCAGGUCAGAGAAUAAAACGAUGAAAGGCAUAAGGAAAAUAAAGUUAAAAGGGAGGAUUCAGAAGAAGACAUUAAUGAACAGUUUGCCAACAAAGAACAAAUUUUAAAUGAGCUGCAAGAUAAAGCUCAAAGUGACUCCGCGAUUCCAAGGCAUUCAGAAAGAGCCAAGGUGCCAACAGAAAAAAUGCUAACUUAUCAGAGAGAAGAGAUAAGUAAAAAAGAAAAAAAGACUAUUAACUCUUUAUGAACAAUGGAAAAUACGAGUGCGAGAAACAAGAGAAAGAUUAAAGUUGGACAUUUCAGAGAAAGAAAUGGCAGAUCUUGCAGAUGAUGUAAAGCAAAGAAAAGAUGAACUGCUAAAGUUGUACACUGAAAUGAGAAGUCACAUUGCACGUUCAUCAGACAUACGAAGAAAAACCGAUGCAUGUGAAGCAGUUACUCAUGACAUCGUGAAAGUCAUCCUGGAAAGAAUAAGUGGUGUAGAUGGAGAUUUUGAUGGAGAAUAUGAAAGAAAACGUCUACGGAGACUAUUAGAAUAUGAUUAUGCCCAGUCCAUCUAUGGUUCAACUGCAGCAUCGAAACGUAGCCAACUGUCUUCAGUCUCACAUCUUGCUUCAAAACGAGCAGAAGCAGCAGCAGAACUAGCAGCAAAGGAAGCGGAGUACAAGAUUGUAAAAGAGGAACAAAGACAAAAGGAGGUUGGAAGCCUACAACAGAGAGUUAUCGCAACUUGAUGAUGCAUAUUCAGUAAAGAUGGAAAAGGUGAACCCAGAGCACACACCCAAACACACUGUACGAUCAUACACCAUACCGGCGCCAACAGCCCCUCCUAGUGUCAGCCAGCUUGUACAGGCGGUACAAGACAGCAUAAGAAUAAAUAGACUUCCCACGCCAGAACCAACAAUGUUUAGUGGUGAGCCAAUAAAAUUUAUUGAAUGGAAAUCCACUUUCAUGUCACUUAUUGAACAAACUGGCAUGUCAGCAGCAGAUAAACUGUACUAUCUAAAAAGGUAUGUAACUGGCUCAGCUCACAGGUGCCUUGAAGGGACUUUCUUCAGAAAUGAUGAAGAAGCGUAUAACGACGUGUGGGCAAAGUUAAACCAAAGGUACGGCCAGCCAUUCGUGCUACAAAGGGCAUUUAGAGAGAAGUUAUCUAGUUGGCCUAAAAUACAGUCGAG
ensembl:lncRNA